rnacentral:rRNA from 1 species
GGGAAUUUUUCACAAUGGACGAAAGUCUGAUGAAGCAAUGCCGUGUGAGUGAUGACGGCCUUCGGGUUGUAAAGCUCUGUUGUAAGGGAAGAAAAAAUAGAGUAGGAAAUGCCUCUAUAUUGACGGUACCUUACCAGAAAGCCACGGCUAACUAUGUGCCAGCAGCCGCGGUAAUACAUAGGUGGCAAGCGUUAUCCGGAUUUAUUGGGCGUAUAGGGUGCGUAGGCGGUUUUGCAAGUUUGAGGUUAAAGCCCGGAGCUCAACUCCGGUCCGCCUUGAAAACUGCAUUACUAGAAUGCAAGAGAGGUAAGUGGAAUUCCAUGUGUAGCGGUGAAAUGCGUAGAUAUAUGGAAGAACACCUGUGGCGAAAGCGACUUACUGGCUUGUUAUUGACGCUGAGGCACGAAAGCGUGGGGAGCAAAUAGGAUUAGAUACCCUAGUAGUCCACGCCGUAAACGAUGAGUACUAGGUGUUGGGGUUAUCUCAGCGCCGCAGCUAACGCAUUAAGUACUCCGCCUGAGUAGUAUGCUCGCAAGAGUGA